UACGUAGGGUGCGAGCGUUAAUCGGAAUUACUGGGCGUAAAGCGUGCGCAGGCGGUUCUCCAAGUCCGUUGGGAAAGCCCCGGGCUCAACCUGGGAAUGGCAGUGGAAACUAGGGGACUGGAAUCUGGCAGAGGGGGGUGGAAUGCCGCGUGUAGCAGUGAAAUGCGUAGAGAUGCGGCGGAACACCGAUGGCGAAGGCAGCCCCCUGGGCUGAGAUUGACGCUCAGGCACGAAAGCGUGGGGAGCAAACAGG
rnacentral:rRNA from 1 species